AUCCAGAUGAGGAGUCCCAAAUAGGACGAAAUGCACAUCCUUAAU
rnacentral:hammerhead_ribozyme from 1 species